CUCACUUAAAAAACUAAUACUUUCAAUCUUUGUAUUUUUGAUGUUAAACUGUAUAUUCUUUAAAUCUGUGUAUGUUGAUGUAACACUAUUAUAUAAACCUUAACAAAUAAACGUUCUCUAAGCUUGUUAGUAGUACUGUAAUAGGCAUACCAGCACAGAAUUAGCAAGGAUUAGCAAAAAGGUAUGGAAUGUGGCCACAUGGAAUGUGCUCGCGAGGAAUGUUGCUAGCUUCGAAUGCAAUGAUAAUAGAAGGUAGAAAUACAAAAGUAUGAUAACUGAUUUUCUUUUUAUUAUAUUUGCAACAACUCUCAAGCUGAGCAUAUGGCUUGUUCGAAUGCAAAGUUUAUAGACAUGAUUCCAACUGUAGACUCUAAUGAAGAUAUGAAUUCAACAAGAGAUCAUAACGUUGCAGGCAUCACAUUUAGAACUUCGAGAUUGAGGUCUAGUUUAAGUUCUCUGUACGCAAAUUAUGACUUUCACUUAGACAUGGUGAAAGUGAUGGGGGUAAUUGUCCUCCUUUCAGUGACGAGUGCAACACUAGCCGUUACUAACAAUCUACAUGUUUGUAAAUCAUACAAGUCGCACAAUGCUACAGAUUGUAUUAGAUUAACACACCACCCAGUAGAUUCUCUAAGACAAUACAAUUCAUCCAUAUGUGACUUUUUUCAACAAUUUGACCUCCCACAGGACUAUAAGGCUACUGUGUGUCGAUAUCAGAGAGAAGUAAGGAUUGAUUUUAGACAAUUUAUUAGUGGACACCCAACAAUCAAAGGACUUUAUUUCAAUACAAGACAGUGGCAAUAUCUAAAGAGACUAAUACCACACAUUGACAAGUCUAUCACUAAAGCACUGAUUUAAAACAAUCCAUCAUAUUUGUGAUUUUAUUUUCAUCAAUAAAGCUGUGUUAAAUAAGCAUUGUAUGUCAAGUUGUUUGCUUAUUAUCCAUUUAUACAAAUGGAUUGCUUGUGAUUUUAUUAGUUAAGUGAAUAAUCACUGGGUUUUAAAUGGUCAGUUCAGCAAACUCUCAUGAUUUUAUCAGUUCAGUGAAUAAUCACUGGGUUUUAAAUGGUCAAUCCAGCAAACCUCAUCUGAUUUUAAAUGACCGGUCAAAGGUUACAAUUCAUCCAUUCAAUAUAACAAAACCAAUGUGUGAAAAGUUUUCUCAUGAUGUUUUAACAGAAACAAACUUUUAAACAAUUUAUUUCCAGAUUUUUAAGAC
rnacentral:lncRNA from 1 species